GUUAAGCGACUAAGCGUACACGGUGGAUGCCCUGGCAGUCAGAGGCGAUGAAGGACGUGCUAAUCUGCGAUAAGCGUCGGUAAGGUGAUAUGAACCGUUAUAACCGGCGAUUUCCGAAUGGGGAAACCCAGUGUGAUUCGUCACACUAUCAUUAACUGAAUCCAUAGGUUAAUGAGGCGAACCGGGGGAACUGAAACAUCUAAGUACCCCGAGGAAAAGAAAUCAACCGAGAUUCCCCCAGUAGCGGCGAGCGAACGGGGAGCAGCCCAGAGCCUGAAUCAGUGUGUGUGUUAGUGGAAGCGUCUGGAAAGGCGCGCGAUACAGGGUGACAGCCCCGUACACAAAAAUGCACAUGCUGUGAGCUCGAUGAGUAGGGCGGGACACGUGGUAUCCUGUCUGAAUAUGGGGGGACCAUCCUCCAAGGCUAAAUACUCCUGACUGACCGAUAGUGAACCAGUACCGUGAGGGAAAGGCGAAAAGAACCCCGGCGAGGGGAGUGAAAAAGAACCUGAAACCGUGUACGUACAAGCAGUGGGAGCACGCUUAGGCGUGUGACUGCGUACCUUUUGUAUAAUGGGUCAGCGACUUAUAUUCUGUAGCAAGGUUAACCGAAUAGGGGAGCCGAAGGGAAACCGAGUCUUAACUGGGCGUUAAGUUGCAGGGUAUAGACCCGAAACCCGGUGAUCUAGCCAUGGGCAGGUUGAAGGUUGGGUAACACUAACUGGAGGACCGAACCGACUAAUGUUGAAAAAUUAGCGGAUGACUUGUGGCUGGGGGUGAAAGGCCAAUCAAACCGGGAGAUAGCUGGUUCUCCCCGAAAGCUAUUUAGGUAGCGCCUCGUGAAUUCAUCUCCGGGGGUAGAGCACUGUUUCGGCAAGGGGGUCAUCCCGACUUACCAACCCGAUGCAAACUGCGAAUACCGGAGAAUGUUAUCACGGGAGACACACGGCGGGUGCUAACGUCCGUCGUGAAGAGGGAAACAACCCAGACCGCCAGCUAAGGUCCCAAAGUCAUGGUUAAGUGGGAAACGAUGUGGGAAGGCCCAGACAGCCAGGAUGUUGGCUUAGAAGCAGCCAUCAUUUAAAGAAAGCGUAAUAGCUCACUGGUCGAGUCGGCCUGCGCGGAAGAUGUAACGGGGCUAAACCAUGCACCGAAGCUGCGGCAGCGACGCUGAUGCGUUGUUGGGUAGGGGAGCGUUCUGUAAGCCUGCGAAGGUGUGCUGUGAGGCAUGCUGGAGGUAUCAGAAGUGCGAAUGCUGACAUAAGUAACGAUAAAGCGGGUGAAAAGCCCGCUCGCCGGAAGACCAAGGGUUCCUGUCCAACGUUAAUCGGGGCAGGGUGAGUCGACCCCUAAGGCGAGGCCGAAAGGCGUAGUCGAUGGGAAACAGGUUAAUAUUCCUGUACUUGGUGUUACUGCGAAGGGGGGACGGAGAAGGCUAUGUUGGCCGGGCGACGGUUGUCCCGGUUUAAGCGUGUAGGCUGGUUUUCCAGGCAAAUCCGGAAAAUCAAGGCUGAGGCGUGAUGACGAGGCACUACGGUGCUGAAGCAACAAAUGCCCUGCUUCCAGGAAAAGCCUCUAAGCAUCAGGUAACAUCAAAUCGUACCCCAAACCGACACAGGUGGUCAGGUAGAGAAUACCAAGGCGCUUGAGAGAACUCGGGUGAAGGAACUAGGCAAAAUGGUGCCGUAACUUCGGGAGAAGGCACGCUGAUAUGUAGGUGAAGCGACUUGCUCGUGGAGCUGAAAUCAGUCGAAGAUACCAGCUGGCUGCAACUGUUUAUUAAAAACACAGCACUGUGCAAACACGAAAGUGGACGUAUACGGUGUGACGCCUGCCCGGUGCCGGAAGGUUAAUUGAUGGGGUUAGCGCAAGCGAAGCUCUUGAUCGAAGCCCCGGUAAACGGCGGCCGUAACUAUAACGGUCCUAAGGUAGCGAAAUUCCUUGUCGGGUAAGUUCCGACCUGCACGAAUGGCGUAAUGAUGGCCAGGCUGUCUCCACCCGAGACUCAGUGAAAUUGAACUCGCUGUGAAGAUGCAGUGUACCCGCGGCAAGACGGAAAGACCCCGUGAACCUUUACUAUAGCUUGACACUGAACAUUGAGCCUUGAUGUGUAGGAUAGGUGGGAGGCUUUGAAGUGUGGACGCCAGUCUGCAUGGAGCCGACCUUGAAAUACCACCCUUUAAUGUUU
rnacentral:rRNA from 1 species